AGAGCCAUAGCACAGUGGUAGAGCAAUAUGCUUUGUACACAAAAGGUCCCAGAUUCAAUUCUUGGUGUCUCCA